rnacentral:rRNA from 1 species
GAUGAACGCUGGCGGCGUGCCUAAUACAUGCAAGUCGAGCGAAUGGAUUAAGAGCUUGCUCUUAUGAAGUUAGCGGCGGACGGGUGAGUAACACGUGGGUAACCUGCCCAUAAGACUGGGAUAACUCCGGGAAACCGGGGCUAAUACCGGAUAACAUUUUGAACCGCAUGGUUCGAAAUUGAAAGGCGGCUUCGGCUAUCACUUAUGGAUGGACCCGCGUCGCAUUAGCUAGUUGGUGAGGUAACGGCUCACCAAGGCAACGAUGCGUAGCCGCACUGGGAGGGUGAUCGGCCACACUGGGACUGGGACGCGGCCCAGACUCCGACGGGAGGCAGCAGUGGGGAAUCUUCCGCAAUGGACGAAAGUCUGACGGAGCAACGCCGCGUGAGUGAUGAAGGCUUUCGGGUCGUAAAACUCUGUUGUUAGGGAAGAACAAGUGCUAGUUGAAUAAGCUGGCACCUUGACGGUACCUAACCAGAAAGCCACGGCUAACUACGUGCCAGCCGCCGCGGUAA